ACGAACGCUGGCGGCGUGCUUAACCCAUGCAAGUCGAACGGAAAGGCCCUGCUUUUGUGGGGUGCUCGAGUGGCGAACGGGUGAGUAACACGUGAGUAACCUGCCCUUGACUUUGGGAUAACUUCAGGAAACUGGGGCUAAUACCGGAUAGGAGCUCCUGCUGCAUGGUGGGGGUUGGAAAGUUUCGGCGGUUGGGGAUGGACUCGCGGCUUAUCAGCUUGUUGGUGGGGUAGUGGCUUACCAAGGCUUUGACGGGUAGCCGGCCUGAGAGGGUGACCGGCCACAUUGGGACUGAGAUACGGCCCAGACUCCUACGGGAGGCAGCAGUGGGGAAUAUUGCACAAUGGGCGGAAGCCUGAUGCAGCAACGCCGCGUGCGGGAUGACGGCCUUCGGGUUGUAAACCGCUUUCGCCUGUGACGAAGCGUGAGUGACGGUAAUGGGCAAAGAAGCACCGGCUAACUACGUG
rnacentral:rRNA from 1 species